rnacentral:rRNA from 1 species
AACUAUGGAUAUACCACUCCGAAUGCACCCAUCUCAUCUGCUCAUAGAAGCUAAGGAGGCUCAGGCCUGGUUUGUGCUUUGAAGAAAGAGAAUUCAGAGAAU